GGAAAAACCACGAAUCCUCAGCCUCCAGCAGGGAGAUUGUUCUCAAUAGGUACGUGUUCAUUAUUCUGACCAAGCCUGUUCCCACCACGCCGGUUUCCUCUGUAGAAUUCAGCAGCUGGAACAUUUGUGCAGUAAAAAGGAACUGAGAGUAUCAGUGUCUGGGCUCGUGUGACAGCGGGGCGGGGAUGGUAAGCAGCGCAGUGACCCGGCGCUGGAGACGCACUGUGCACAGCAGACAUCAUGGCUGGGAGGGGAGACGGCCGGGCUACGGAUACGCGUUUGCCGGAGCACUGGAGGGAUGUGCGAGAAUGGAGCGUGGAGAAGAGACAGAGCCACCAAAUGUGGGUUGCAGAUGUGGAAGCUGUCCUCAGGUCCAUGGAGAGACAGUUGAAUGCUUCACUGGAGAAAUAUCCUCGUACAAGCGCAGUCUGCCCAGAGCGUUGUCCUCCAUCUCCUUUGAACCGCGGCGGGUGUCUCUGCUGCCGACCAGCUGAUCCGGAGAGGCGCCUUAAGAUGGUCUGAAAUGAUUUGGAGGCAAGAGAAACGCUCAGCGAUCCCGUUUUCUUUGCAAACCUGAACCCUUCAAUCCCUCAUGCAAUGACCUGUCCUCAUAAGCCGUUUUUGCCAUUCAGCUGAGGAAAGUCAUUUCACACUUGAGUGUAUCUUUACUUAUCCGUCCCCUGAGCGCUGAAAAGUAGAUUUCAACUUGAGAUCUUCCCGCGAUGACUUCCAGCUUCAUGUUCUUAAUACUCUGCUAACGACUGACUAAUGAAUAAACAAGUCUCUCUGCGA